rnacentral:tmRNA from 1 species
GGGGGCGCGCAUGGCUUCGACGUGUUGUUGAGGACAUGGAGUGCAUGCCGAGCGUUAUCUGAGUGCUCGCUAAACAAUCAGGUAAAACAAUAAGUGCAGGAUUUAGUUCCUCACAACCAAGCGGCUACCAAGCCGUUGCAGUUGCGUAAGUAACUCGUGGUUCUUGUUAGUGACGCGUGUCUAUCAGUGGAUCUAACUCGUAUUAAUUAGAUAGAACCUUCAGGCAAGAUUUUUUAGUUCUGUAGCCUGUUUGUAUCACUGGACUGACGAGUAUCGGUUCUUGUGUCUUUGAAAGCCUAUACUUGUACUUACAAAGACUAAGCAUGUAGUGCUACGUGGCUAAAGCAGUGCGGACAUGGGUUCGACUCCCAUCGCCUCCACCA